rnacentral:miRNA from 1 species
GUGUGUAUAUAUGUAUGUGAUGUAUAUGUAUAUAUAUACACAUACAUACACACACACACACACACACACACACACACACACACACACAUA